AUGUAUGAUACUGGCCCUGUUAGGCAUAAAACCCAACUUGUCUUUCUCCUCUUUGAAGAGAGAGCACCUUCAGUCCACAUUAGAGACUUUCUCUUUCCGGCUUGCAAACCAAUAAUGCCAAUAAAGCUCUCCCUUCUACAUCUAGCCAUCCUAGUGGUCUUUGAGACGACAGUUUUCUCUUUGCAAACUGUCUUCCCACAGAAUUGUUGAGCAACAUAAGGACAGGAUACUAUAAUAGACUCACAUCACCUCACAACACCAAGCACAGCACCCCCCAUGAAUACUUGGUGAAUUGGUAUAACCUUGUUCCCACCCCUCUUUGCAGCUCUAUCCCUUUCUCUUAAUCCAAAUUACCUUUAACCCUCAGCCCUCAAUUCCACUUUUGCCUCCAGUUCUCAGGGAUUAGACAACCCAAGCAGACAGGCUACAGGAAAUAGCAGAUUGGGAGAGGAGUGGGAACAGGAGAAGCUGUCUUUGGCUCGGCUGGAAGGUGAAGGGAUUCCAGAUGCCGGUUCCUGGCUUGCUCCCCGCUCUCCAUUUGGCUUCAUCCUGGGGCUCUCUUCCUCCCCACAGAGGGGUGGUGGGCACUCUGUGCCACACCUCUCCUCUCUGGGAUCUCAGGUCUGUCCCUGAAACCUGCUGGUAGAAGAACCUCUAGAGUCCUUGCCUCCUUCCCACCGUGUGACCAUUGCCCAUUGGCACAUCUGUCAAGACACAGAUUUUUGGAAGAAAAAAGAAAGAGUGAAUGCUGCAGAGAUGGAUUGUUAAUUUUCCAAAUGAGAUAUGACUCUGAGAUCCCACCUACCCAGCUGGUAGGACGUUCCACCAUGCUCCCUAAGGUGGUUUGAGUGUUUGGAAUGACAAAGACUCUCUCAUCACCCUGAAACCUUAGUCCGGCGGCGCCUCUGAGUCUUCUGCUUGACGAGGCCUGACCUUGGGCUUCCCCAUGUCCUUUCAGAAUCCAGUUUGAGCAAGAAUCCUGCUAAGUCAGGCAUCUGUAGGCUUUGUUAAUCUAGGAGUCUGACCACCCACGUCCUCAGCUGGUCCUGUCCCUCCACAGCCCUCUUCUCCCAGCCCUUCAAUCAUCUCUCCGGACUAUAAGCUUAUUAAGAGCACGGGAGUAGUCAGCACAUCAAGUGUUUGGCACCGGGGUGAGGUGACUGACUACAGCUCUGGGAAGCUCCGCAGAACAAACACCAGAAUGAACGGUGUCUUCAUUCUCCAGUGAGAGGACUUUGCAUCCUGACUUUGUGUACUCUUUCAGGAGCAGACCACCAGAGACAGUCACACAAGGGGAGGGGAGAUGGCAUUGUGGGAGUGGCCCACUCCGUGAGCACAUGAAAUUUUAGAUCUCCACUUCCGUUUGGUAGCAUGUAAAACAGCAGACUCUUGGAAAGUCAUCUUUGGAGGGAACCCAAGAGGUCAUCAUAUCCAGAACUUCAUUUUACAAACAUGUAAACUGAGGCCAGAAAGAGAAAAUGACAGGAGCAAAUAGGUGAUGCUAAUAGGUGAUGGUGUUGGAUUCAAACCCAGGUGUUUUAUCCUGAUGCAAUAAGAAAUACGGAUUUGGUCUCUGUCCCUGGUUCCUGGCAUACAGCUCCUAAAACCCUUGUAAUCUCUGACAAAAGAAUGUCUUUUGGAUGCUAAGAGGAAACUGGUGGCUGGGAGCCCCUAGAUGGCUUCAGAAUGGGGGCUGGUCACCAGAAAGACCAUGGUAUGAUUAGAACCUCUUGAGAGGAGAGAGGGGCUGAAGGUUGCGUUGAUACCUUAUGGCCGAUGAUGUAAUCAAUCAGGCCUAUGUCAUAAAGCUUCCAUAAAAACCAAAGAAAACUUGGUUCAGGAGGCUCCAGACAGCUGAACCUGUGGAGGCGCCUGGAGGGUGGAUCUUCCGGAAAGCACAUGGCAGCUCCGCGCCCCUUCCCACAUGACUUGCCCUGUGCAUCUCUUCCAUCUGGCUGCUCAUCUGUAUCCUUUAUCAGAACCAACUUCCUCCCACCCCACACAGACGCUCCCUUCCCAGAGCUCAUUGGGAACCUUCUGAUUUGCAUCUCCAAAGAAAUAAAAUAAAUUCCACUAAAU
rnacentral:lncRNA from 10 species